rnacentral:rRNA from 1 species
UGCAAGUCGAGGGGCAGCAUGUCCAGCAAUGGAUGAUGGCGACCGGCGGAAGGGUGCGUAACGCGUGAGCAACAUGCCCUAUACAGGGAGAUACACCAGGGAAACUUGGUCUAAUAUCCCAUAGCAUUCAUUGAAGGCAUCUUUAAUGAAUUAAAGCUUCGGUGGUAUAGGAUUGGCUCGCGUGACAUUAGCCAGAUGGUGAGGUAACGGCUCACCAUAGCAAUGAUGUCUAGGGGUUUUGAGAGGAAGGCCCCCCACACUGGGACUGAGACACGGCCCAGACUCCUACGGGAGGCAGCAGUGAGGAAUAUUGGACAAUGGAUGGAAAUCUGAUCCAGCCAUGCCGCGUGCAGGAAGACGGCCUUAUGGGUUGUAAACUGCUUUUAUACGGGAGCAAUAAGGGUUACGAGUAAUCCGAUGAGAGUACUGUAUGAAUAAGGAUCGGCUAACUCCGUGCCAGCAGCCGCGGUAAUACGGAGGAUCCGAGCGUUAUCCGGAAUUAUUGGGUUUAAAGGGUGCGUAGGCGGCCAUUUAAGUCAGCGGUGAAAUUUUGCAGCUUAACUGUAACAGUGCCGUUGAUACUGUUUGGCUAGGAUUUGGUUGUAGUGUGCGGAAUGUGUGGUGUAGCGGUGAAAUGCUUAGAUAUCACACAGAACACCGAUUGCGAAGGCAGCACACUAAGUCAUUAUUGACGCUGAGGCACGAAAGUGUGGGGAUCAAACAGGAUUAGAUACCCUGGUAGUCCACACUGUAAACGAUGAUAACUCGCUGUCGGCGAUACACAGUCGGUGGCCAAGCGAAAGCAUUAAGUUAUCCACCUGGGGAGUACGACCGCAAGGUUGAAACUCAAAGGAAUUGACGGGGACCCGCACAAGCGGUGGAGCAUGUGGUUUAAUUCGAAGCAACGCGAA